rnacentral:rRNA from 1 species
GGUCAUGGCCAUGCCACUCUGAACAUGCCUGAUCCCAUCUGAUCUCGGAAACUAAGCAGGGUCGGGCCUGGUUAGUACUUGGAUGGGAGACCACUUAGGAAUACCAAAAAGGUUCUAUCAGAG